AAGCGAUUGACAAUUUCUUUACACGUACAUAGAACCCAUGUUUUCUCUAGACACUUGCGCCUACGUACGAAAACAAUUUCAACCCAUAUACCUUGUUCCAACCUAACUUACAUGUAGAAAACCUGUGUUUCCUCACGAUAACACUUCCUCAGUUUAUGCUAACCUUUGACAACCAUAAAAAAAAAUUCAUCACCAUCAUCACAGUACUUCAAAAAACACACAUUCUAGCACGCCGGAAAACACCUAUUGACUCCUACCUUUUUUGUUUUUAAGCAAACCGAUCCAUACUCACCUUUGCAUAUUCCGCGUUACUUCUCAUAAACCAUACCAUCACUAACCAUGCUAAUAUUGUUCAUCCAAUAAUCAACAAUUGGUUCUAACAGUGAUAACUUUUUUGAUUUACUGACCAUGUUAAUCUUUUGAUAUCUAUGAUUCGCUACGUAUCUAACCCAGUAAUUUUCAAUUUUUGCUAACAUCCCAAUUCAAAAAAAUUCUUUCUGUUGAUAACUGUAACAAUAGGUUGGAGAAACAACUGAGAAAAGAGACAGAGCCGCUGGAUCUUUCGCCGUACACCGAUGAAACCCGACGGAGACAACUCUUGGAUUCGCCGUGAACAACAUCAUCACGUCACGCCCGCCCGCACGGCAUCAUUACGCUGCUGCAUCCCUACCUCCGACGAUACGCAUACAGACAAAGGAACUGGACCCUCUCGAUCGCAACCGUUCAGCUUCCAAGCGCGGCGACAACCCCAUCGAAGCUCGACGUCCACCCCGUUGCGAUAUCUUUUCCGAUGGCCGGUGCCGCAAACCACACGGAGCUUCCACUACGAAUCAGAGCAAACCGCGAACCCAGUCACCACCUCUCCUCCGCCGGCAAUCACCUCGUCGCGAGAUCCAAACGCUACCGGUCAACAUCCGCCAAAUCGCAACCCCCGACAGCCUCCUUCCCGCAGCGCUGACGCUAGAUCCGGCGAUCUCCUUCAGAGAGCGAAGUUUUGUUUUUACAGAAAGAAAGGAGAAAUGGGUUUAAUACUGUUGUUGCAUUACUAAGUUGGAAAAGAAUCGUGAAAGGAGAAGAUAAGAAUGUGUUUCUUCUCUCAUCCAUGACUCGUCAAUUCUGAAUGCGUGGGGUCCGCCUUUGGGCUGGAUCUGAAUUUCUGUUUUUUAACCACAGGUUUCAAUACAUAUUUUAUUGCGUUGAUUAUCCUAACAAAUUCGUUUGCGCAGCAUAGAUUGUGUAAAGGAGUGCUGGUGACUAGCAAGACCUGGGUUCUAUCCCUGGGUAUUGCAUUAUUUUGGUUUAAUUUGUUAGUUAUGCUCGGUCCAAAGAUCUAGUACACGCGGCCUGCAUGAAUGCAUUGUACACCCUCAAUACUGCACCAUGCGAUGAACAGGGCCUCAGAUCAAAUGGUCCUCGGAGCGGCGCCCUACCAUACUCCUUCAAGGGCUCACCAUAUAGAUGCAAAACCAGGUUCCUUAUAUUAUUUUUUGGUUUACUUAAUUAUCUUGAUUAGAUUUAAUUAGUUAUACUUAAAUUUAAUUAAUUUAUUUAAAUUAGGAUUAGCACAUAUAAUUAGGGUUAGGAGUAUAACAUUUUCCCCGAUUAUUCAAUUAUGUCGAUUAUUCGACUUAAUUGAUUUAAUUAGUUUUAAUUAAUAUUAAAUCAUAAAAGCACUAGAAAGGUUAUCCAUACAUUAGGGUUUGCUCAAUCUCAUUGCCUUUUUGGCAAAAAUAUUAAUUCUAAUUUGAUUAAUUAUUGAAUAACUCUCUCCUCGACUUGAAUAAAGCUAUUAGUCGCAUUAGAUGAGAGAUAAAAGAAUAAAACAUAAGAUUUAACUACAAAUUUAAAAUACAUUCAAUUUGCUGCCCGCGACGAUCGAUUCAAUCGAUCUGAGUAACCAGCAAUGCCUCAUUAAUCUGUUAGCUAUACUGAUCAAAUCUAUUGAUCAUCGCAUCUAACGGUGACAUAUCAAAUCAGGGUUGUACGCCCAAAUCAAACAUUCAAAACACUUCAAAUCAAACUACGGAUUUUCAUCCAUUUCAAUCAGGCAAUUCAAAAUGCCUUUCAAAUCAUAGCUUCCAAAACUACGACAGGCCAUUCAAAAAGCCUUCAAACACUUUCAUAAUUAAGUCAAUCAUAACUAAUUCAAAGGCGUACAACCCUGUGCCAAACUACGUUGACUCUGAUUCUCCAUAAGGAGAUACGUAGGCACUUGGAUAACCAAGGCGAGUCCCCCUCCCUAAAAUCUCAAUUUUCCCCUAUUCAAUUCCUUAGCUAUUAACCUUAACUUUUAGCCAUAAAACUGCCCAUUAGAUUCAAAGCCAAUAGGAAAGGGUUGAGGGUGCCUAACACCUUCCCUCGACCUAAUUAUAAAACUUACCCCGAUCUCUCAACUGCGUAGGGUUUCCUAUUCGCCCUUCAGAAUAGGUGGCGACUCUAAAACUUUCAUUUUUAGGGCAGGUUGCUACAGCUGGCGACUCUGCUGGGGAAACACAAAAAUGGUGAAUUAUUAUGCUCCUAGGUUUUGGCAGGGUUUAGGUUUGGAAAAUUAUUUAGGUUUGUGGCUAGCUAUUAGGGUUUGGCAAAUUUUCCAAAAUUAGGGUUUAGGUUUUAUUUCUUUGCUUUUAUAUUUAAUAUUUAAAUUUUUAUUUAGAUAUUUAUUUGCAAUUUCCAUGGUUUAUAGUUUUUAUAUAAAUAUUUAAAUUGUUUAAUUUUAUUUAUCUAUUUACAAUUUAAUUUGUUUAUAGCAAUUUUAAUUAAAUAUUUGAUUAUUUGAAUAUUUGUUAUUUUUAUUGCAUUUUUUGGUUGUAUAUAAAUUGCUGUUAAGCCUAAGCGUGGGAAUUAUAAUAAUGACCAGAGGGGAAUUACACCACCUACGAGUCUUAUUAUAAUUCCACUCAGAGUGGGUUAAAUAUUCGGAAAGGUCUGAUACGAGGCUCGACCUUGUUGAGGGCUGGACUGGGUAUUUAGCUGAUCUCUCUGGGAACCAACCCCUAAAAUUCGAACCUCGUGGACCAAUGAGUUGUUCAAAAAUCCAAAGAGACAAAAAGUCUCAGCGGCUACGAACGAUCCCAUGAGACCUUCUAGAACAUACCAAUGGGAAAGGUAGGCACCCUAAGCCGUUACGUCGAACCUAUGAACCUAGGGCUUAUGUGCUUACGGGCUUAUUAUAUAUGUGCAAUUUAUAUACUACAAAUGCCUUGCAUUUUAAUUUUUGCAGGUAUUCCUACGCAGUCCCUAGCCUGUAGGGACUCUAGUUCUAAAAUCGCAUCCUUCGUACGAAGGACAUCCUCAUUAAUGCACGUCGAUUGGCCUCUCGAUGGCCAUGAGACCUAGUGACUGUCAUGAACGGUCACUCCGUGCCCGCAUCUACGCACUCCCUUACCUGUGGGGAGUUUCCUUUUAUAUCUUUGUAUUUUACAACUACGUGUCCUUCCCACGAAGGACAUUUUCGUUUAUGCACGUCGAUUGACCUCUCGAUGGCCAUGCGAUCCAAUGACUACUUUGAACAGUCACCAUGUGCUUACAUCUACGCGUUCCCUAGCCUGUAGGGAUCAUAUUUCUUAAAAUGCAUCCUUCAUACGAAGGACAUCUUUGUUAGCAUACGUCGAUUGGCCUCUCGAUGGCCAUGCGAUUCAGUGACUGUCUUGAACGGUCACCCCGUGCUUACAUUUACGUUUCCCCUAUCCUGUAGGGAUUCCAUUUCUAAAAAAAAUCACAUCCCUCAUAUGACGGACAACUUCAUUAGCAUGCGUUUGAUUGGCCUCUCGAUGGCUAUGAGAUCUAAUGACUGUCCUGAACGGUCAGUCCAUGCUUAUUCCCGCGCACCCUGUAACUUGUAGGAUUUAGAUUUCCAUCUAUACAUCUCUCAUCCCUAGCUUGUAGGGAUUUCUCUUCAUCCGAUAUCGUCCUUAGAUAGGUUGUGUUCCGCAUAGAGGACCUUCCCACCAAGGACAACAUCAUUGGUACACGUUGAUUGGCCUCUCGAUGGCCAUGAGACUUGGUGACUGUCUUGAACGGUCACCAGCCGCUACCUUCUGCAUAUUCCCUAAUCUAAGGGAUUUCCUUAGCGUGUCAUAACAUUUAUCCUGCAAAGAUUCCACGAGGGUCUGAUGUCGCCUUUAAGGUUAUCCCUAGGAUCAUGUGUUACACGUUUGCAUUGCAUACACGGAGUCAUAAUACAACGAAUCUCUCGCAUACACAUGCAUCUGCAUUUUCAUGCAUUCAUACAUUUACAUUCACAUCUUCGCCCGCAUCCACCCGUUCCGUGCUAGCUGAUUUCCUGAGACCCGCACAGAAGACAAUCAAAGGAUCGCAAACUACGGAGAAAGGAGGAUUAAUUAAUGAGAAUGAGCUUAGUCUUACUAAGAAAAUGAGGAUGUCUUUCACCAUGCCAGCCGCAUGUCCAUGCCUCGUCAUAACAGGGUUAUAAAUACAAUAAAGGUUGUCAUCGAGCAAGGAUUAGAUCAACAAAGAGUUCCCUCAUAGAUACACUCAAGAUGUAUCUAGUCAAAAAGGGAUUCAUCUUAGAACAUAUCAAACUUACAAGGAUGCUAUACGAUAACCUGGGGGCAAGGAUUAGUCCAGUUGGGGCAAAAUCCUAAACAAAGAUGCAUAACUAUGAUGGGAGAAAGGCGACAUGUGUUAACUCCAUACCAAGGGGAAAAAGGGUCAUAGGCUAUCUUUAUCAAUCUACAAACCCUGAAGGUUGCAAAUGGUGUGACACUAUCCUUAGGAAAAGCAAAAGGGGUUCAGUCAAAGGAAACUCAUAAAGUUCCGAUACGACGAAAACCCACCGCUAACCAAAUUUAUUCCCGACAGGUUUGACGUGCCCAAGGAGCGUUCGAGGUUACCGUUCACUUCUACAAGUCCAUGAACUAAGAAGUAAAACAAGGUCUUUGGAUCAACAAAGGAGAUUUUCCCUAGAAUCAAUAGGUGUUUAUCAUGUCAGAAUUUCAACCCCUAUGAUCGCUAAGCUUUUCUCAGGAUAAAAGUUGUACCUUCGGAUUAGCAAUUCUACGGGGAUGACCAUACACGGGUUUUGGAAUCGAUUCACUCACACACUUCUAUUCUACUCUCAAUUUCAAAUCUAUGGUGAUUAACAAACUUAAGGGAGGAUGACGAAUACAAAUAACUUAAUCCAGCUAAACGUAUGCUUUUAAGGUAAGACCGAGCCGUGGAUGUACAGGCAUUAUUUCAAUUCCCAAACAGUGGAGAUAUAAGGAUGUUAAUCCCUCGUCACCCCCUCGAGCCAGGAGUUGGAGUUUGUUUCUACUUUUUCAAAAAAACCUUGAUUUCAACCAAAGGCAGGGUAGAUUUCGAUUAAUUCAAUGGUGUAUUUUGGUUGUCAAGAGAAUCAAUCAAUCCAAGCAAAGGAUCGAGCAAAGCAAAGGUCCAAGCAUAUCUUCUUCCUCACGUUCAUCCAAGAUUGAGGAAACAAUGGAGGUAACAUUUACAACAUCUUCUUCCUCAAUAGAUCAUUCAAGAUCGAGGACGUAUCAAAGACGAAGCUUGCAAAUCCAAAUUGACAUGGCAGUCAUAAUAUUCCAAAUCCAAGGAUUAAAAGGAGCAUUCAAAAGAAAAAAAGAAAAACGCCUGCUAAGUCAAAAUGAAAAUUUUCAUAAAAGAAAACAAAAAUGACUUAGGCAAAAUUUAGGGCAUCCCGAUGGAUCAGACUCAAAAGAGUUGGUUCAUGCAAAAAUAAGGGAUAAAAACAAAGGCAAAAUACAAAGGAUAAUCUUGUGACUGCUAAACCAUCAAAGCUUAACAUCAAUUCUUGGAUCUCUGCAAUAUUUUCAUCAACGCUUGGGUCUUUACUAAAGGCUUCUGCUCAACAUCAGAACUGAUUUUCUUACAAACAAAACACAUUCAUUGGAUUAGGCGAAUUUCUAGGAUUUGGAGAACAUCAAGGAGAAAGGGGUGGGUUAAAUAAAUUUCGAGUCUUAUAUCCGUUGUUUCUUAAAACCGUGAACCAGGUCAAGUUACAACAUUCAAAAGUCCUAAUUGAGGCAAGGUUAACUACGAAAGCAUAUCAAGCAGAAUUUUGUAAUACUGACUCCUAUGUUUGUUAAAACUAUUUCUAACCACUACGCCUUUUCAAGCAUUCAUUUCUAAAAACAUCCAGUCCUAAUUCAUAAUGGACUUCGAUUUCAAAACUUGCAUACGCAUCGCAUUGGAGUUACUUCUCAAAGGGUACAACAUCAUCUACGAACAUACACUUAGCACUCAAGGAGAUCUCGAAAUUGGUUAAUCAAAGGCGACCAUUUCUAAUAAAGACUCUAGAAUGGGGGAACCACAUCUAGGGGGUUCUCCUAAACAGGGGAAAAAUUUAAAGGAUCACAGGGGCAUGCAAUCAAACAUCCUAUCAACUAGGGGCAUUCAUCCUAAAGGUUCAAUUGACUUGAGGAACACCUCGAAGCAAUAAAAAAACAGGGGCAUGUCAAACAUGGGAAAAAUUCAAAUUCAAAAGGAUAGAACACUAUGGAUAGUCCUCCAUAUCAUGGAGAUCAAGGGCAUACCCUUCAACCUAAGAGUUGAAGCAUACGACAAAGCCAAAAUGGGGCAAGGCGCACAUCAUAAGGAAAAUACGUUCUCACACUCUACAAACAUCAAACAAAUCUUUCUCCCAACUACGAUCUUCAUAAUUCAAAAAAAAAUACAGGGAUUGGGAAGUCGCGCUAGCAUCACACCCCACCUCAUGCAACAUUAGCAAGCUAUAUACGCUUAUCAUUGGAGCAUCAUGCAAAAACAUAUAAAUUAUGCAUUACAUACAUGGGUUGAUACAUUACACCGUACCUUUUUAGGUAGUCUUCUUUAAGACAAAUCUCAUGAUCCUUUCUAGGAGCCUCCUCAAGCAGUCUUAUUAAAGACGAAUUGUCAUUUCCAAAAACCUCUUCAGGUAGUCUUCUUUAAGACAUUAUUUUUCUAAGAACCUUUCUAGGUAGUCUUCUUUAAGACAAAUCGCACGAUCCUUUCUAGGAAUCUUCUCAGGUGGUCUUCUUUAAGACAAAUUGUCACCCUUUUCAGGAACCUUUUUAGGUAGUCUUCUGUAAGACAUUAUUUUUCUAAGAACCUUUCUAGGUAGUCUGCUCUAAGACAAUCAUCGCCAUUUUCAAGAACCUUUUUAGGUAGUCUUCUUUAAGACAUUCUCUUUCUAAGAACCUUUGUAGGUAGUCCUUUUUAAAAGACAUCUUUCAGCCUCUCCAGGUGGUCCUCUUUAAGACAAAUCCUACGAUCAUUUCCAAGAACCUUUUUAGGUAGUCUUCUUCAGAACAUUCUUUUUCUAAGUACCUUUUUAGGUAGCCCUCUUUAAGACAAUUUGUCAUCCUUUUCAGGAACCUCUUCAGGAGGUCUUCUUUAAAACAUUCUACGAACCUUUCUGGGUGGUCUUUUAUAAGACAUUAACCGUACUUUCUAAGAACCUUUUCAAGUAGUCGUCUUUAAAGACAUUCCUCAUUCUUUGCUAAGAACCUUUUCAGGUAGCCUUCUUCAAGGAAAAUUUUCACAUCCAUUCCAUAAAACUUUUUAGUUAGUCUUAUAGAAGACAUUACUUCGUUUCACUCGUUACAUCAAUCAACAUAUACAUAAGCAUAAGCAUAGUCACAGACAUAGGUGCAAGCAUGGAUUAAAAAAAAUCAAGGAGAUAAAAUCUUGGGGUUGACAUCAACAUUAGCAUCAACAUACAUGCAUACGCAUUAACAUACGCAUAUCGUCUAGUGCAUUUACAUACUACAAAAGCCCAGUUUCCAACCCUCGUGUUGUGAUAGGUGUAUUUUCCGACCCACGUGUCGUGACUUUCCAACCCUCGUGUUGUGAUAGGUGUAUUGCCCGACCCACGUGUUGUGAGUUUCCAACCCUCAUGUUGUGAUAGGUGUGUUUUCCGACCCACGUCUCGUGAAGCUUCCAACCCUCGCGUUAGGUGUUUUCUGACCCCUCGAGUCGUGAGUUUCUAAACAUGUCAUUUCCUUUCCGACCCUCGAGUCGUGAAUAUUUGACAUGCUAUUUUCUCCGACCCUCGAGUCGUGAGUUUCCAAACAGGUGAAUCUUUUUCAUACAGGUAAGUUUGCUAGAACUAUAGCAAACGAUCUCUUCUUAUACAGGUACGCUUGACAGGGCCAUGGCAGGUAAUUCCUUUGGUGCAGGUGAACUCGUCCGAACCAGGACAAGGAGUCCAAAUGGUGCAGGUGAAACUUGUCCGAACCAUGGAAAAUGAUCCUAUUGGUGCAGGUGAGCUUGUUAGAAUCAUAACAAGUGAUCCCACUUACAAGUCCUCGCUAUGUAAGACUCAGGCUUUAUCAAGACAGUUCUUUUCUCUCACGCUUGAGCACAAGGUUUUACAAAAGUUUCUUCAAUUGGGUUUAUCACGUGAGUCCCUCGGCAGUGAUAUUCUCUAAAACAUCUUCAACAACAAACAAAGGUUUUAUCUUUAUUUUCAGAAUUACUAACAUACUUCAAUUAACACAGCUAACAAUCAUGCAUCGUUCAAUUACAUACCUCACUCAUUCAUAACGCAUAUGCAUACACUGCUCUCAUUUAUUUUGAGAAGCUCACUGCAUCAUACAUCGCAUGCAUCAUAACAUUGCAUAAAAUUCAGGUUGCCUUUUUAGGCCGUGCUACAAUCAAAGCACAUGGGUUCCCUUCGAAAGCAUAUGCUUCACACUCUAAAAAAAGAGGUACAUUUAUCUUGGGUGGCAUCUGUAAGCCCAUCUCUUCCAGAACAUCAUUCCCAACAAGUGCAAAUUUCAGGGCGUUUUAGUGUUCAAUCAUCUUCUACCUUUAGAACAAGAUAGGCAGACGUGCCUAUCUGAUUCUUCAGGUUUAAGAAGAUUGAACAGGGGCAGCUGUCAUACCCCAAAAUUUGCCUGAUCAUUUCUUUAAAGAAAUACCAAAAUAGGAGUCAUGGGGUUUAACAUCUCGAUUGUUAAACCCACUCUCUUAUAAAAAUAUCUCAAAUUAAAAUGGGGUUAAAAUUAAAAGGUACUUGGCCCAGUCAUUUGGCCUAUUUAUCUUUGGGGUUUUUAGUUAUUAUAAUUUAUUUACUCACUUUUAUUCAACUUACCAUUUACCUUAUUAUUAUUAUAAUUAGAAUUAUUAUUAUUGUAAUUUUGCCAAUUUCUUUUAUUAGAAUUAUUAAUAUUACUAGGAUUAUUAUUAUAGUACUAUUAGGAUUAUUAAUAUAUAUAUAUAUAUAUAUAUUAGGAGUAUUUUUUAUUAUUAGUUUAUUAAGAGUAAUUAUUAAGUUAAUUGGGUAAUAAGCCCAUUAGGUAUAAAAAAACCUAAUUUAACUAAUAUAAAUAGGACCAAUUCUAAUAAUUAUGGGAGGACACAAUUCAACCGAUGGACAAUUUCUUUACACGUACAUAGAACCCAUGUUUUCUCCAGACACUUGCGCCUACGUACGAAAACAAUUUCAACCCAUAUACCUUGUUCCAACCUAACUUACAUGUAGAAAACCUGUGUUUCCUCACGAUAACACUUCCUCUGUUUAUGCUAACCUUUGACAACCAUUAAAAAAAACAUUCAUCACCAUCAUCACAGUACUUCAAAAAACACACAUUCUAGCACGCCGGAAAACACCUAUUGACUCCUACCUUAAUUGUUUUUAAGCAAACCGAUCCAUACUCACCUUUGCAUAUUCCGCGUUACUUCUCAUAAACCAGUUCCAUCACUAACCAUACUAAUAUUAUUCAUCCAAUAAUCAACAAUUGGUUCUAACAGUGAUAACUUUUUUGAUUUACUGACCAUGUUAAUCUUUUGAUAUCUAUGAUUUGUUACUUAUCUAACCCAAUAAUUUUCAAUUUAUGCUAACUUCCCAAUUCAACAAAAUUCUUUUUGUUGAUAACUGUAACAAUAGGUUGGAGAAACAACUGAGAAAAGAAACAGGGUCGCUGGAUCUUUCGCCGUACACCGAUGAAACCCGAUGGAGACAACUCUUGGAUUCUCCAUGAACAACAUGAUCAUGCCCGCCCGCACGGCAUCAUUAGGCCGCCGCAUCCCUACCUCCGAUGAUACGCAUACAGAACAAAGGAACUGGACCCUCUCGAUCGCAACCGUUCAGCUUCCAAGCACGACGACAACCCCAUCGAAGCUCGACGUCCACCCCGUUGCGAUAUCUUUUUUGAUGGCCGGUGCCGCAAACCACACGGAGCUUCCGCCACGAAUCAGAGUAAACCGCGAACCCAGUCACCACCUCUCCUCCGCCGGCAAUCACCUCGUCGCGAAGGCCAAAUGCUACCGGUCAACACCCGCCAAAUCGCAACCCCCGGCAACCUCCUUCCCGCAGCGCCGACGCCGGAUCCGGCGAUCUCCUUCACUGAGCGAAGAUGUGUUUUUAUAGAAAGAAAGGAGAAAUGGGUUUAAUACUGUUGUUACAUUACUGAGUUGGAAAAGAAUCGUGAAAGGAGAAGAUAAGAAUGUGUUUCUUCUCUCAUCCAUGACUCGUCAAUUCUGAAUGCGUGGGGUCCGCCUUUGGGCUGGAUCUGAAUUUCUGAUUUUUAACCACAUGUUUUAAUACAUAUUUUAUUGCGUUGAUUAUCCUAACAAAUUCGUUUGUGCAGCAUAGAUGGUGUAAAGGAGCGCUCGUGACUAGCAAGACCUGGGUUCUAUCCCUGUGUACUGCAUGAAUGCAUUGUACACCCUCAACACUGCAUCAUGCGAUGAACAGGGCCUCAGAUCCAAUGGUCCUCGGAGCGGCGCCGUACCAUACUCCUUCAAGGGCUCACCAUAUAGAAGCAAAACCAGGUUCCUUAUAUUAUUUUUUGGUUUACUUAAUUAUCUUGAUUAGAUUUAAUUAGUUAUACUUAAAUUUAAUUAAUUUAUUUAAAUUAGGAUUAGCACAUAUAAUUAGGGUUAGGAGUAUAUCAUUUUCCCUGAUUAUUCGAUUAUGUCGAUUAUUCGACUUAAUUGAUUUAAUUAGUUUUAAUUAAUAUUAAAUCAUAAAAACCCUAGAAAGGUUAUCCGUACAUUAGGGUUUGCCCAAUCCCAUUGCCUUUUUUGGCAGAAAUAUUAAUUCUAAUUUGAUUAAUUCUUGAAUAAUUCUCUCCUCGACCCGACUAAAGCUAUUAGUCGUAUUAGACGAGAGAUAAAAGAAUAAAACAUAAGAUUUAACUACAAAUUUAAAAUACAUUCAAUUUGCUGCCCGCGACGAUCGAAUCUAUCGAUCUGAGUAACCAGCAAUGCCUCAUUAAUCCGUUAGCUAUACUGAUCAAAUCUAUUGAUCAUCGCAUCUAACGGUGACAUAUCAAAUCAGGGUUGUACGCCCAAAUCAAACAUUCAAAACACUUCAAAUCAAACUACGAAUUUUCAUCCUUUUCAAUCAGGCAAUUCAAAAUGCCUUUCAAAUCACAACUUCCAAAACUACGACAGGCCAUUCAAAAAGCCUUCAAACACUUUCAUAAUUAAUUCAAUCAUAACUAAUUCAAAGGCGUACAACCCUUUGCCCGAACUAGGUUGACUCUAAUUCUCCAUAAGGAGAUACGUAGGCACUUGGAUAACCAAGGCGAGUCCCCCUCCCUAAAAUCUCAAUUUUCCCCUAUUCAAUUCCUUAGCUAUUAACCUUAACUUUUAGCCAUAAAACUGCCCAUUAGAUUCAAAGCCAAUAGGAAAGGGUUGAGGGUGCCUAACACCUUCCCUCGACCUGAUUAUAAUAACUUACCCCGAUCUCUCAACUGCGUAGGGUUUCCUAUUCGCCCUUCAGAAUAGGUGGCGACUCUAAAACUUUCAUUUUUAGGGCCGGUUGCUAUAGACCGAGAAAGACAUUCUUCUGACAAAGAUUCAAUCGUGUCAUAUCGGUUCCAUCUUCACAAAUAGGACACGCUUUUUGACCUUUAUUGCUGUACCCUGAUAGAUUUUCGUUGGUUGGAAAAUCAUUAAUUGUUCCAAACAACAUCGCCCUUAAGUUGAAACUUUCUUUCCUAUACCCAUCAUAAACCUCCACACCGUUCUCCCACAAAAACUUUAAAUCUUCGAAUAAGGGUGCCAAGUAUACGUCUAUGUCAUUCCCUAGUUGUUUAGGCUCAGAAAUUAACAUAGAUAUCAUCAUGUACUUACGCUUCAUACAUAGCCACGGAGGUAGGUUAUAAAUCAUAAGGAUCAUGGGCCAGGUUCUAUGCGAGAUACUUUGAAUACUAUGCGGGUUCAUUCCAUCAGUAGACAAUGACAACCAAAGGUUUCUUACUUCUUUUCCAAAUUCAGGAUAAUCAUUAUUAACUUUCAUCCACUGUGGUGAGUCUGUCGGAUGUCGCAACUUUCCAUCAAUAAUUCUUUCAUCUGCAUGCCAAGUCAAGCGUCUUGAAUCAGUUUCACUACGAUACAUGCGUCUAAAUCUUGAAAUUAUAGGAAAAUACCAUAAGAAUUUGCCGGAGACAACUUUUUCUUAUAUCGAGGGGCACCAUAUUUAGGACACUCAUUCAACGCUGCAUACUCGUUUCGAAACAAAACACAAUCUUUUUGACAGGCAUGUAUCUUAUCAUAGCUCAUGCCAAUAGAGGACAACAUCUUUUUGUCCUCGUACGUUCGAUUUGGAAGAACAUUAUCCUCUGGUUGCAUAUCUUUCAUAAGGGCUAAUAACUCUGUGAAACUUUAAUCCGACCAUCCAUUGCCUGCCUUUAAGUUGUACAACUUUAACACCACAGACAAUCUUGUGAAUUUUGUACAACCAUCAUACAACGGUUUCUCUGCAUCGCUUACCGACCUCUCGAACAUUUUGGAACAAUCCUCAAGAUCUUCGUCAAGCGCUUCUGCAAUCUCUUCGACUCGAUCAUAAUCGUACGUGUCUGUGCAAUCGUCGUUUGAAGCAUACGUCGUAUUAUACCUCAAUUCAACAUUCCCGUUACUUUUCUCACCAUGAAAAUUCAAACAUGUAUAACUUCUAUCAAUUCCAAACCGUAGUAAAUGUGAUUCCAACUGAACCGCGUCAACCUGACCCCCAUAACAGCAACUGAAGCAAGGACGCGUCAUUCGAUUCGAGUCUUCGGCGUGAGCAACCACAAACUUAACGAAUUCCACUACCCCUUUCUCGUACUCUUUCGACAAUAAAUUUGAAUGCAUCCAUGUCUUAAUUAAGCUAAACAAAAACAACUAAUUAAAGUGGAAAUGAUCCAUCAUAGAAGUUCAUUCAAAGCACAACUAAUUACUUUGGCAAGAGAGAACAAUUAAUUACCUGUAUAGAACUAAGCAACUUCUAGACCCACACAAUGUAAGAUUCUUGAAAACGAUCAAACUUUCACUCUUCACAAGUAACCCUUAUAGUAAAUUCACAAAGUUAGUAAGUUCAUCACUUAACGAUUAACAACAUUGACAUUAAGAAUCAUAGCAGUUCAUUCAAAUGGUUUUACUAAUUAAGCUAAACAAAAACGUUAAUUAUUCACGUAACUAUAGCAAAAGAACAACUAAUUACCUGUAGAGAAAUAAUCAACUUCUGGACCCACACAAUGUAAGAUUCGUGUAAACAAUCAGACUUUCACUCUGCACCUGUAAAAUAAUCAUACUAUCAAUAUCAAUCCAACAUUUCACUUUUCAUUGUCUCUUCAACAAAAUUUUAAUUUACUCAUAAACUAAUGUGCAAUUCAUAAUGUAAAUUAAAAAAUUAGCAUCUUCUAUAAUUCUUAACAUACUCUGGGAAAGCACAUUUACUAAGAAGAUGACUUAUCUGAUGAAAUUCUGGAAUAAUGUUAAAAGUAUUGAAAAGGUUGACAAUGUGGCGUUAAACCACCCAAGAAGAAAAUUCAAUAAAAUUCAUAAGCAUAAGCCAUGCUGCAGAAUGAGAAUAAAAAUUCAAGAAGAAUAGCCCCCCAAUCCAAAAACAGAGAAAUGGUGAUAUUAUUUUUCAAAGUAAGAAAAAUUGCACUUUGGUUAAUGAUUAUGUCAACUAUACUCGUUCUGAUUUAUUUUUUUUACUUUACUUUUCCUGUGUUAAUAAAUUAUGUUAUUAGUCUAUAUCAAGACCCUCAUUUACCCUUCAUUUGAACUUUUACAACUUUAAUUGAAUUUUCAAUCCGAUUUUACAUCCCAUUUGAAAAAAUUGAUGCUAGAAUCAAAUGAGAGAGGGAGAGUUUUGGUAUAUCCAACUUUUUGGAACUAAUCAACACAUAUUUGAUUCACUAUAACAGAGAGUCAUUUAGCUUCCUUUUGUAGGUCACAUUCAAAGACAUUCUGAAUCUACUUGCUAAACAAUUCGAUGUGGAUCUCAAUCCCAAAAAGGCAGCUAUCAAGCUCAUGAUUCAGGAGGAGCUGGCAAAACUAGCUGAAGAAGCAGAUGAUGAAGACGAGGAUGAAGAAGAGGAUACCAAGAAAGACGAAUGCCGGUCUACCGGCCAGGAGUCCUAAGUCUGAGUGUGGAUUAGACAUUACAGCUUGGUGGUUAGCUAUUUAGCAAGGCAUACUAUAAUUCUCAUGUACACUUUAAGUUAUGUAGAAUUGGCUGUAUCUUAUUCUAAAUUCUUAACAUCCUUUCAAAUAUUAAGAUAUUAAACAUGUAUUUUUCAUAA